GGAUGUCAGGGUGACCUGGCUGUGACAUCUGUCACCCCACUGAUCGCCAGGGUUGAUUCAGCUGAUCUGGCUGGCUAGGCAGGUGUCCCCUCCCCCACUCAAUGCCCCGUGUGUGUCCCUCCCAAGCUGCGAGCUCGGUCGAAGAGGACAACCACCCCCGAGAGAGGGGGACCGUUCCUCGGUCAAGGGCAUAUGAGUAGCUGCGCUCCCCUGCUAGAACCUCCAAACAAACUCUCAAAAAAUAUGAGGCCAUAAUUAACAGGUACAUCUACAGACUUUGGAAGAUAGCAAAGGAUAGGUAAGUAUUUUAGUUACCUGUUCUGU
rnacentral:snRNA from 1 species